GGCUGGUUAGCUCAGUGGUUUGAGCGCGGCGCUGACAACAAUGACCAACACCGAGGUCGUGGGUUCAAUUCCCACUUGGUCCC
rnacentral:tRNA from 1 species